UCUGUUUUCUCUCCUCUUUUCAAACCACGGUAAUUUUGAGGAAGAGUUGUCGUAUCUUACAGGUAUGGGAACUGCACGCGCAAGGAGACUGUUGCCUUUGGCGGACACAUCAUUGGAAGGGUUUUGCAGUUUCUUCAAGAAAUUCAAAGCUCAGACCGUCAGAUAUAUUUCUAUUGUGGUGAAGAUGCUUACAGGUGAAUGAGAAGAGCUGUAUUCGGAUUCUAUAUAUAUAUAUAUAUAUAUGAGUAUAUAUUUUGUUUAUAUUUGAUCUUAUUAGCCUUUGAUUGACAUGUUGCAUGUGGAUUUGGAGAGUGAUUUGGUUGAAUUUGAUAAUGUAUGAAUCUUCACUUAGAACUCGUAGUUAUGUCAAAUUGUCUGUACGUUAAUGAGACCUUCUAAGUUUGCAUAAUUUAUUUAUUCUAUUUUAUUUGGGUA